rnacentral:lncRNA from 1 species
UCUCUUAGUGUUGGCAUAAAUUCCUACAGACCAUCCACUCAUCUUUGGCUGUUUUGAUAGGAUAAUCUGAGUAUGUUUCCCGAUGAAAAGAUACUUUGCUGCCUGGAUUGUUCUGUGAUAAGCACUCUUAAAGAUCAUAUUCAGUGAAUUGCAAACUUCUCAGAAGGAGAAGGUAGAUGAAGAAAAGCCACAAAGACAUUAUAAAAGGUUCAACUUGAAUCUUCUAAGAGUUUUCUUGCCAUUUUCCCUGCCCACACUGUCCUCUGUUUCUGUGGAUUGUUGUUAAAAUUAUAGAUAUAUCCAUACCAUCCACAG